rnacentral:rRNA from 1 species
AUUGAACGCUGGCGGCAGGCCUAACACAUGCAAGUCGAGCGAGCGAAGGACGGGUGAGGAAUGUCUGGGAAACUGCCUGCUGGAGGGGGAUAACUACUGGAAAGGGUAGCUAAUACCGCAUACCAUCAGAUGUGCCCAGAUGGGAGUAGCUGGUAGGUGGGGUAACGGCUCACCUAGGCGACGAUCCCUAGCGGGUCUGAGAGGAUAACCAGGCACACUGUAACUGAGACACGGUCCAGACUCCUACGGGAGGCAGCAGUGGGGAAUAUUGCACAAUGGGGGCGAGCCUGAUACAGCCAUGCCGCGUGUGUGAAGAAGGCCUUCGGGUUGUAAAGCACUUUCAGCGGGGAGGCGUUACCCGCAGAAGAAGCACCGGCUAACUCCGUGCCAGCAGCCGCGGUAAUAC